GAUGAACGCUGGCGGCGUGCCUAAUACAUGCAAGUCGAGCGAACAGAUAAGGAGCUUGCUCCUUUGACGUUAGCGGCGGACGGGUGAGUAACACGUGGGUAACCUACCUAUAAGACUGGAAUAACUCCGGGAAACCGGUGCUAAUGCCGGAUAACAUUUAGAACCGCAUGGUUCUAAAGUGAAAGAUGGUUUUACUAUCACUUAUAGAUGGACCCGCGCCGUAUUAGCUAGUUGGUAAGGUAACGGCUUACCAAGGCAACGAUACGUAGCCGACCUGAGAGGGUGAUCGGCCACACUGGAACUGAGACACGGUCCAGACUCCUACGGGAGGCAGCAGUAGGGAAUCUUCCGCAAUGGGCGAAAGCCUGACGGAGCAACGCCGCGUGAGUGAUGAAGGUCUUCGGAUCGUAAAACUCUGUUAUUAGGGAAGAACAAAUGUGUAAGUAACUGUGCACGUCUUGACGGUACCUAAUCAGAAAGCCACGGCUAACUACGUG
rnacentral:rRNA from 1 species